rfam:Danio rerio chromosome 4, GRCz11 reference primary assembly.
GCAUUGGUGGUUUAGUGGUAGAAUUCUCGCCUGCCAUGCGGGAGACAAGGGUUUGAUUCCCGGCCAAUGCA